AGAUCUAAGCAUGAAGAGCUGCAGGGAUGAAAGACACGGACUCCUGAUGGCUCUUGAACAGGAGACGUUUAUUGCCCUGUUUCACUACUACAUAUGCUUUCCCCGUAGCCCCACGUGUUGUCCAUGCACCCGAUU